AUACGGAGGGUGCAAGCGUUAAUCGGAAUUACUGGGCGUAAAGCGUACGUAGGCGGUCCGUUAAGUUAGAUGUGAAAGCCCCGGGCUUAACCUGGGAACUGCAUUUAAAACUGGCGGACUAGAGUUGAAUAGAGGGGAGUGGAAUUUCAGGUGUAGCGGUGAAAUGCGUAGAGAUCUGAAGGAACACCAGUGGCGAAGGCGACUCCCUGGACUCGAACUGACGCUGAGGUACGAAAGCGUGGGUAGCAAACGGGAUUAGAAACCCGUGUAGUCC
rnacentral:rRNA from 1 species